GCCUGAAUAGCUCAGUCGGUAGAGCGCGGGGCUCUGGUCGAUAGCCUGGUUCAAAAGGUUGUGGGUUCUAUUCCCACCUCAGCCA
rnacentral:tRNA from 1 species